rnacentral:misc_RNA from 1 species
CCGAGUUUACAACUCCCAAACCCCAAUGUGAACCUCUACCUAACCGUUGCCUCGGCGGGAUCGCCCCGGCGCGCCCCCUCCAGGGCGUCCGGAUCACACGGCGCCCGCCGCAGGACCCCCCCAAACUCUCUUGCAUCUCCGGCGUCGUUUUCUUCUGAGUGGACUUUUUCCUCGCGAGAGCGGGGUGAAAAUGAAUCA